GGUCUCCGUAGGUGAACCUGCGGAGGGAUCAUUACACAAAUAUGAAGGCGGGCUGGAACCUCUCGGGGUUACAGCCUUGCUGAAUUAUUCACCCUUGUCUUUUGCGUACUUCUUGUUUCCUUGGUGGGUUCGCCCACCACUAGGACAAACAUAAACCUUUUGUAAUUGCAAUCAGCGUCAGUAACAAAUUAAUAAUUACAACUUUCAACAACGGAUCUCUUGGUUCUGGCAUCGAUGAAGAACGCAGCGAAAUGCGAUAAGUAGUGUGAAUUGCAGAAUUCAGUGAAUCAUCGAAUCUUUGAACGCACACUGCGCCCUUUGGUAUUCCAAAGGGCAUGCCUGUUCGAGCGUCAUUUGUACCCUCAAGCUUUGCUUGGUGUUGGGCGUCUUGUCUCUAGCUUUGCUGGAGACUCGCCUUAAAGUAAUUGGCAGCCGGCCUACUGGUUUCGGAGCGCAGCACAAGUCGCACUCUCUAUCAGCAAAGGUCUAGCAUCCAUUAAGCCUUUUUUUCAACUUUUGACCUCGGAUCAGGUAGGGAUACCCGCUGAACUUAAGCA
rnacentral:rRNA from 1 species